rnacentral:rRNA from 1 species
UAAUACGUAGGUGGCAAGCGUUGUCCGGAUUUAUUGGGUUUAAAGGGUGCGUAGGCGGCCUAUUAAGUCAGUUCUGAAAUAUCCCGGCUUAACCGGGAGGGUGGGAUUGAUACUGAUGGGCUUGAGUGGAGUCGAGGUAGGCGGAAUUGACGGUGUAGCGGUGAAAUGCUUAGAUAUCGUCAAGAACACCGAUAGUGUAGACAGCUUACUAGACUUCAACUGACGCUGAGGCACGAAAGUGUGGGGAUCAAACAGGAUUAGAUACCCUGGUAGUCCACACUGUAAACGUUGAUUACUCGCUGUGUGCGAUAAACAGUACGCGGCUUAGCGAAAGCGAUAAGUAAUCCACCUGGGGAGUACGCCGGCAACGGUG